rnacentral:rRNA from 1 species
UACGGGAGGCAGCAGUGGGGAAUAUUGCACAAUGGGCGCAAGCCUGAUGCAGCCAUGCCGCGUGUAUGAAAAAGGCCUUCGGGUUGUAAAGUACUUUCAGUCGUGAGGAAGGUGUUAAGGUUAAUAACCUUAGCAAUUGACGUUAGCGACAGAAGAAGCACCGGCUAACUCCGUGCCAGCAGCCGCGGUAAUACGGAGGGUGCGAGCGUUAAUCGGAAUUACUGGGCGUAAAGGGCACGCAGGCGGUUAAUUAAGUUGGAUGUGAAAUCCCCGGGCUUAACCUGGGAAUGGCAUUCAAGACUGGUUAGCUAGAGUCUUGUAGAGGGGGUAGAAUUCCGAUGUGUAGCGGUGAAAUGCGUAGAGAUGUGGAGGAAUACCGGUGGCGAAGGCGGCCCCUGGACAAAGACUGACGCUCAUGUGCGAAAGCGUGGGGAGCAAACGAGGGAUUAGAUA